rnacentral:rRNA from 1 species
UACGGAGGGUGCAAGCGUUACUCGGAAUCACUGGGCGUAAAGAGCGUGUAGGCGGGUUAAUAAGUUGGAAGUGAAAUCCUAUGGCUCAACCAUAGAACUGCUUUCAAAACUGUUAACCUAGAAUAUGGGAGAGGUAGAUGGAAUUUCUGGUGUAGGGGUAAAAUCCGUAGAGAUCAGAAGGAAUACCGAUUGCGAAGGCGAUCUACUGGAACAUUAUUGACGCUGAGACGCGAAAGCGUGGGGAGCAAACAGG